UACCAGAUGUGUUUGUUUUAUUUACACUUUAUUUACAUUUUACUUGUAUUUUAUUUACAUUUAUUUACAUUUGAUUUGCACGUUGCUGACAUUUAUUUACAUUCGAUUUGCACGUUAUUUACAUUUUAGUUACAUCUACAUAUUUAUAUUUAGAAUCAUUUACAUAUUUAUAUUUUAUUUACAUAUUUAUAUUUUAUUAACAUAUUUAUAUUUGUUUACAUGGUUACAUUUAUUUACAUAUUUAUAUUUUAUUUGCAUUUACACAAUUAUAUUUUUAUUUACAUUUGCGCAUUUCUGUUUUAUUUACAUUUUACCCUCCGCAUUUUUGGUCCCAUUUAAAGAGCAAAUGAGUUCCCCCUCCACUGGGAAUGAGGACAAGCUGUCCCAGUGGGGAGAUGAUGUCGGUUACAACACCUGGCACAAACCCUGGCACCCGGAGAACGCCGGGGACUCCUUUGGCCAAGAGUUUUUCCGACUGGGAAGAAUACAGCGAGGAAGAGCAGCCCCAAGGAAAAGGCAGCAGCUCCCAAAAACUGCCCAGCUGGGAAGAAACCAGCAUGGAAGGGCAGUCCCAAGGAAAAUUCAGUAGCUACCAAGAACUACUGUCUGACUGGGAAGAGCUGUCCCAAGACCAAGAGGCCGUUGGACAAGAGUUUUCCCACUGGGAAGGCUCCAGACCCUCCACGCUGUCCCAGUGGGAAGAUGACAGCGACAGGGAGCUCGCACUGCAGGACUGGGAACACACAGCACAGGAGUGGGCUCGGGGCUCUGCAGGGCUCUUCCUCUCCCCUGCUCUCACUCCUCACUUCUCAGAGCACAAUUCCAUCUCUGCCAGGACUUUAUUUUCCCCUCUCCAGUCCGUUCUCCCGGAGGCGUCACUGCCGUCUCUGCUGGGCUCAGCCUUGCUCCGUCCUGGACCCGGCUGGGCCUGGGGGAAGCUUCCAGAAACUGCUCACAGAACCCACCCCUGCAGCCCCCCUGCUACCAAAACCUGGCCAGGCAACCCCAAACAGAGUCCACAGGGAGCAGAGAUCCACCUGCAGCCCCUGGAGGUCCACAGGGAGCAGAGAUCCACCUGCAGCCCCUGGAGGUCCACAGGGAGCAGAGAUCUACCUGCAGACUCUGGAGGAGCAGAGAUCCACCUGCAGCCCCUGGAGGAGCCCCCUGGCUCAGGGGGAUGCCCGAAGGAAGCUGUGACUCUGUGGGCACCCCACCCGGAGCAGGGUCCUGGCAGGGAAGUGCAGUCCAUGGAGAGAGGAGCCCAGGCUGGAGCAGGGAAAGGACUCUUCUCCCUGAGCAGUGACAGGAACAGUGUGUGAUGAACUGACCAGAAACCCCAUUCCCCAUUUUUCCCACCUUAUACAGCAGUAAUUUUUUUAUUAUUUAUUUAUGAUUCAUGCACUGUGCCUUUUGAACCCCAGCUACUCCAGACUGGGGCAAUAAAACUAGUUUUC
rnacentral:lncRNA from 1 species